UUAAACUUGAGAGUUUGAUCAUGGCUCAGAACGUACGCUGGCGGCACGCCUAACACAUGCAAGUCGAACGCAGUAGCAAUACUGAGUGGCGAACGGGUGAGUAUAAUGUGGGUAUCUGCCUUUUGGUUUGGAAUAACACGAGGAAACUUGUGCUAAUACCGAAUAAGCCCUUACGGGGAAAGUUUUAACGCCGAAAGAUGAGCCUGCACUUGAUUAGCUAGUUGGUAGGGUAAUGGCCUACCAAGGCAACGAUCAAUAGCUGAUCUGAGAGGAUGAUCAGCCACAUUGGGACUGAGACACGGCCCAAACUCCUACGGGAGGCAGCAGUGGGGAAUCUUGCACAAUGGGGGAAACCCUGAUGCAGCGAUGCCGCGUGAGUGAAGAAGGCCUUUGGGUUGUAAAGCUCUUUCGUCGGGGAAGAAAAUGACUGUACCCGAAUAAGAAGGUCCGGCUAACUUCGUGCCAGCAGCCGCGGUAAUACGAAGGGACCUAGCGUAGUUCGGAAUUACUGGGCUUAAAGAGCUCGUAGGUGGUUAAAAAAGUUGGUGGUGAAAUCCCAAGGCUCAACCUUGGAACUGCCACCAAAACUUUUUAGCUAGAGUGUGAUAGAGGAAAGUGGAAUUUCUAGUGUAGAGGUGAAAUUCGUAGAUAUUAGAAAGAACACCGAAUGCGAAGGCAACUUUCUGGAUCAUUACUGACACUGAGGAGCGAAAGCAUGGGUAGCGAAGAGGAUUAGAUACCCUCGUAGUCCAUGCUGUAAACGAUGUGUGCUAGACGUUGGGAAUUUAUUUCUCAGUGUCGCAGCAAAAGCGUUAAGCACACCGCCUGGGGAGUACGACCGCAAGGUUAAAACUCAAAUGAAUUGACGGGGACCCGCACAAGCAGUGGAGCAUGUGGUUUAAUUCGAAGAUACGCGCAGAACCUUACCAACUCUUGACAUGUUCGUCGCGACUCUAAGAAACUAGAGUCUUCGGUUCGGCCGGACGAAACACAGGUGCUGCAUGGCUGUCGUCAGCUCGUGUCGUGAGAUGUUGGGUUAAGUCCCGCAACGAGCGCAACCCUUACUUUUAGUUGCUACCAUUUAGUUGGGCACUCUAAAAGAACUGCCAGUGAUAAGCUGGAGGAAGGUGGGGAUGACGUCAAGUCCUCAUGGCCCUUACGAGUUGGGCUACACACGUGCUACAAUGGUACUUACAAUGAGAUGCGAAGAGGCGACUCUAAGCCAAUCCCAAAAAGGUACCUCAGUUCGGAUUGCACUCUGCAACUCGAGUGCAUGAAGCUGGAAUUGCUAGUAAUCGCGGAUCAGCGCGCCGCGGUGAAUACGUUCCCGGGUCUUGUACACACCGCCCGUCACACCAUGGAAGUUGGUUACACCUUAAGGCAAAAUGUUAACCUUCGGGAAACAUUUGACUACGGUACGAUCAGCGACUGGGGUGAAGUCGUAACAAGGUAGCCGUAGGGGAACCUGCGGCUGGAUCACCUCCUUUCU
rnacentral:rRNA from 1 species